rnacentral:lncRNA from 1 species
CCUCUCACAAUUCUCCAUCUGGGGAGAAGAAGGAUGGUCCACAACCUUCCAAAUCAAGGAUGGGACCUAACAGGAGUCUUACUGAGAAGACUCUCACAACUCGGUUUGUGGAGGAUCUCCGUCGGAAGUUGGCAGCCAAUCCAGCUACCAGCGGUCCGAUAGAAUUCCUAAGGAUCAAAAGCGCUCCCUUUCGAGAGGACCUUUUGAAGGUAUCCUUCCCACAAACCUGGCGGGUACCAAGGAUUGAAGCGUACGAUGGUUCGGGUGAUCCAAGAGAUCACAUCAACCUCUACCUCAGUGUCUUGGAACCGCAAACCACAGAUAACGCACUGUUGUGCCGGGCAUUCCCCGGCACUCU